rnacentral:rRNA from 1 species
UACAGAGACUGCAAGCGUUACUCGGAUUCACUGGGCGUAAAGGGAGCGCAGGUGGGCAGGUGUGUCGGGCGUGAAAUCCCGGGGCUUAACUCCGGAUCGGCGCCCGAAACUAUCUGUCUAGAGGAUUGGAGAGGCGGGUGGAAUUCCAGGUGUAGCGGUGAAAUGCGUAGAUAUCUGGAGGAACACCGACGGCGAAGGCAGCCCGCUGGACAAAUCCUGACACUCAGGCUCGAAAGUAUGGGGAGCAAAAGGG